AUGGCUCAGGAUGAACGCUAGCUACAGGCUUAACACAUGCAAGUCGAGGGGCAGCAUAUCGAAGCUUGCUUUGAUAGAUGGCGACCGGCGCACGGGUGAGUAACGCGUAUCCAACCUUCCCCAUAGUAGGGCAUAGCCCGUAGAAAUGCGGAUUAAUACCCUAUGUAUUCCGAGGAUGACAUCUGAUUCGGAACAAAGGUUCACCGCUAUGGGAUGGGGAUGCGUCUGAUUAGGUAGUAGGCGGGGUAACGGCCCACCUAGCCGACGAUCAGUAGGGUUCUGAGAGGAAGGUCCCCCACAUUGGAACUGAGACACGGUCCAAACUCCUACGGGAGGCAGCAGUGAGGAAUAUUGGUCAAUGGGCGAGAGCCUGAACCAGCCAAGUAGCCGUGCAGGAAGACGGCCCUAUGGGUUGUAAACUGCUUUUAUACAGGGAUAAAGUCGGGGACGCGUUCCCCGUUUGCAGGUACUGUAUGAAUAAGGACCGGCUAAUUCCGUGCCAGCAGCUGC
rnacentral:rRNA from 1 species